GGGUUCGAUUAUGGUCAGAUUGAAUGCUGGCGGGAUGCUUUACACACGUCGAACGGCGUACGGACUUCGGUCUGCAGCGCCAAGGAGUAAGGAACGGGUGAGUAAUGUAUCGGAACGUGCCUAGUAGCGGGGAUAACUACGCAAAGCGUAGCUAAUACCGCAUAAUACCCUUUCGGGAAAGCGGGGGACCUCGGGCCUCGCACUAUUAGAGCGGCCGAUAUCGGAUUAGCUAGUUGGUGGGGUAACGGCUCACCAAGGCGACGAUCCGUAGCUGGUUUGAGAGGACGACCAGCCACACUGGGACUGAGACACGGCCCAGACUCCUACGGGAGGCAAGGUGGGGAAUUUUGGACAAUGGGGAAACCCUGAUCCAGCCAUCCUGCGUGUGCGAUGAAGGCUCGUUGUAAAAGCACUUUUGGCAGGAAGAAACGGCACGGAUAAUGUCACCCCGUGCAACCGACGGUACUCCGCAGACAGCACCGGCUAACCAUGCGCCAGCAGCCGCGGUAAUGCGUAGGUGCAAGCAGCGUUACCCGGAAUUACUGGGCGUAAAGCGCGGCAGGCGCGGCUAUUCGGAAAGAAAGAUGUGAAAUCCCAGAGCUUAACUUUGAAACUGCAUUUUUAACUACCGAGCUAGAGGUAAGUCAGAGGGAGGUGAAUUCCCGUGUAGCAGUGAAUGCGCAGAGCAUGAGGAACACCGAUGGCGAAGGCAGCCUCUGGGAUAACACUGACGCUCAUGCACGAAAGCGGGAGCAAACAGGAUUAGAUACCCCGGUAGUCCACGCCCUAAACGAUGUCAACUAUUGCUAGCCUUCGGGCUUUGGUAGCGCAGCUAUCGGUGAAGUUGACCGCCAGCCUGGGGAGUAGCCGGUCGCAGACAACCAGGUUGAAUGACGGACCCGCACAUGCGGAUGAUGUGGAUUAAUCUGAUGCAACGAAAACCUUACCUACCCUUUGACAUGUUCAAGAAUCCCGAAGAGACUGGAGUGUCGCAAGAACCUGAACACAGGGUGCUGCAUGGCUGUCGUCAGCUCGUGUCGUGAGAUGUUGGGUUAAGUCCCGCAACGAGCGCAACCCUUGUCAUUGGUUGCCGCCGAAAGGGCACUUCACGAGACUGCCGGCGACAAACCGGAGUAGCGUGAUGAUGUCAAGUCCAUGGCUCCCAGGUAGGGCUUCACACGUCAUAGUAAUGGUCGGGCGAGGGUCGCCAACCCGCGAGGGGGAGCCAAUCCCGCAGAAACCCGAUCGGUCCGGAUCGCAGUCUGCAACUCUGACUGCGUGAAGUCGGACUGCUGGGUAAUCGCGGAUCAGCAUGUCGCGGUGAAUACGUUCCUGGUCUGCAAGACACCGCCCGUCACACCAAGGAGUGAAGCCACGAAGUAGUUAGCCUAACCGUGGGCAAGGAGGGGCGAUUACCACGAGAUUCAUGACUGGGGUGAAGUCGUAACAAGGC
rnacentral:rRNA from 1 species